GACAGGAAGACCACGUCAGUGACUCAACCCACUCAAGUGACGCACCCCUCCCAUGGACGGCAUGGAAGAACACCAGUAAGCCAGUGACUCAGCCCCUGUAAUAGGGUUAGAGGCAGAGAAUCCCAGUGGAAAGAGGGGAACCGGCAAGGCAGAGACAGCAAGGGCGGUUCGUUGCUCCAGCCUUUCCGUUCACCUUCACACUCCUGGGCCAGACUAUACUUAAUCAUAGGACCUACUGAAGAGAUACGUCUUCAGUAAUGACAUUGCUUUGGUCAAGGGUGAUUCUGGAGGUCCUCUCCUGUAUAAUGGUGUGGCAGUUGGGAUCACUUCAAAUGGAGGGAAGAAGUGUGGAUCCAGCAGGAAGCCUGGUUUAUACACCACCAUCUCCCACUACAGCCAGUGGAUA